CGCGGGCGGAGGCUUCCGGGGCUGGGGGCGGUGCCACGUGCAGUGCCGGCGGCGCACGGCAGAGGGCGUAGAGGAGCUACCGCCGCCCUCCCGGAUCCCACGGCGCGGUCCGCGACGCCCGCCCUGCCGCCGCCUGGCCGAAGCCUCUCCAAGGCCAAGGCCACCCUCGGCCCCGCCCCGCCGCAACCGCCGCCCCGGAGUGUCGGUCGAAGAUCACCCUAGGCCCACGCCCUCUGCCCGCCCCGGACGCGCCACCCCUUCCUGGGCCUCCCUCCCUCCUUCCGCUCCAGGUCAGCCCCACAUUUCUCCCUGGAGCUCUGAGAGUCUUCCAGAAAAAGUUCCUGAGGAGAGCUCACUGCUGGAGGUCUUGGUCUCUCACACCCUUGGAGCUCAUCUACCCAAGUGAGGCUGAGUGCCCUCCGCCAGUGCAGACAGACCCAGUCCGUGUUGAUGCAAAACCAGAUGAAGAAAAUGAGGCCCAGGAUGGACCUUGUUCUAUCUGGAAAAAGACAGAAAAGGGACCUUAGGACUGGAAAGGCAACUAUAGGAGCAGCACCCCCCUGGUGGCGUUGGGGACCCAAGUCCAGAUUUAGGCUGAAGAAACAGGGCCUCUUAAGGAGGGGGGUUACCUGCAGGAGAAGUGAUGUGAACCACAAGAAACC
rnacentral:lncRNA from 1 species